AACGAACGCUGGCGGCGCGCCUAAUACAUGCAAGUCGAGCGAGAAGACGUAGCAAUACGUUUGUAAAGCGGCGAACGGGCGAGGAAUACAUGGGUAACCUACCCUCGAGUGGGGAAUAACUAGCCGAAAGGUUAGCUAAUACCGCGUACGCUCCUUGGACUUCGGUUCAGGGAGGAAAGCGAUACCGUGGGUAUCGCGCUCUUGGAUGGGCUCAUGUCCUAUCAGCUUGUUGGUGAGGUAACGGCUCACCAAGGCUUCGACGGGUAGCUGGUCUGAGAGGACGAUCAGCCACACUGGCACUGCGACACGGGCCAGACUCCUACGGGAGGCAGCAGUAAGGAAUAUUGCGCAAUGGGCGAAAGCCUGACGCAGCGACGCCGCGUGGGGGAUGAAGGUCUUCGGAUUGUAAACCCCUUUCGGG
rnacentral:rRNA from 1 species